rnacentral:rRNA from 1 species
CGGGACGGGUGAGUAAUGUCUGGGAAACUGCCCGAUGGAGGGGGAUAGCUACUGGAAACGGUAGCUAAUACCGCAUAACGUCGCAAGACCAAGAGGGGACCUUCGGGCCUCUUGCCAUCGGAUGUGCCCAGAUGGGAUUAGCUAGUAGGUGGGGUAACGGCUCACCUAGGCGACGAUCCCUAGCUGGUCUGAGAGGAUGACCAGCCACACUGGAACUGAGACACGGUCCAG